rnacentral:rRNA from 1 species
CCUACGGGCGGCAGCAGUAGGGAAUAUUGCUCAAUGGGGGAAACCCUGAAGCAGCAACGCCGCGUGGAGGAUGAAGGUUUUCGGAUUGUAAACUCCUUUUGUUAGAGAAGAUAAUGACGGUAUCUAACGAAUAAGCACCGGCUAACUCCGUGCCAGCAGCCGCGGUAAUACGGAGGGUGCAAGCGUUACUCGGAAUCACUGGGCGGAAAGAGCGCGUAGGCGGGAUAGCAAGUCAGAUGUGAAAUCCUAUGGCUUAACCCUAGAACUGCAUUUGAAACUGGUAUUCUAGAGUAUGGGAGAGGUAGGUGGAAUUCUUGGUGUAGGGGUAAAAUCCGUAGAGAUCAAGAGGAAUACUCAUUGCGAAGGCGACCUGCUAGAACAUAACUGACGCUGAUGCGCGAAAGCGUGGGGAGCAAACAGGAUUAGAUACCCGGGUAGUC